rnacentral:rRNA from 1 species
GACGAACGCUGGCGGCGUGCCUAAUACAUGCAAGUAGAACGCAGUUGCGAACGGGUGAGUAACGCGUAGGUAACUGCCUCAUAGCGGGGGAUAACUAUUGGAAACGAUAGCUAAUACCGCAUACUGUGAGAUGGACCUGCGUUGUAUUAGCUAGUUGGUGAGGUAACGGCUCACCACGGCGACGAUACAUAGCCGACCUGAGGGGGUGAUCGGCCACACUGGGAAUGAGACGCAGCCCAGACUCCUAAGGUGUGGAACAGUAAGGAAUCUUCGGAAGAGGACGGAAGGCUGACCGAGCAACGACGGGUGAAUGAAGAAGGUUUUCGGAACGUAAAGCUCUGGUAUGAGAGAAGCGGUAUCUAACCAGAAAGGGACGGCUAACUACGUGCCAGCAGCCGCGGUAAUAC